GAUGAACGCUGGCGGCGUGCUUAACACAUGCAAGUCGAACGGGAUCCCAGGAGCUUGCUCCUGGGUGAGAGUGGCGAACGGGUGAGUAAUGCGUGACCGACCUGCCCCAUACACCGGAAUAGCUCCUGGAAACGGGUGGUAAUGCCGGAUGCUCCAGUUGACCGCAUGGUCCUCUGGGAAAGCUUUUGCGGUAUGGGAUGGGGUCGCGUCCUAUCAGCUUGAUGGCGGGGUAACGGCCCACCAUGGCUUCGACGGGUAGCCGGCCUGAGAGGGCGACCGGCCACAUUGGGACUGAGAUACGGCCCAGACUCCUACGGGAGGCAGCAGUGGGGAAUAUUGCACAAUGGGCGCAAGCCUGAUGCAGCGACGCCGCGUGCGGGAUGACGGCCUUCGGGUUGUAAACCGCUUUUGACUGGGAGCAAGCCCUUCGGGGUGAGUGUACCUUUCGAAUAAGCACCGGCUAACU
rnacentral:rRNA from 1 species